rnacentral:rRNA from 1 species
UACAGAGGGUGCGAGCGUUGUCCGGAAUCACUGGGCGUAAAGGGCGCGUAGGUGGCGAGCCAAGUCGGUGGUGAAAGCUCGAAUGCUCAACAUCGAGUCGGCCAUCGAAACUGGUUGCUUGAGCACUGUAGGGGCAGAUGGAAUUCCGGGUGUAGCGGUGGAAUGCGUAGAGAUCCGGAAGAACACCGGUGGCGAAGGCGGUCGCUGGGCAGUUGC